GACGAACGCUGGCGGCGUGCUUAACACAUGCAAGUCGAACGGAAAGGCCCUGCUUUUGUGGGGUGCUCGAGUGGCGAACGGGUGAGUAACACGUGAGUAACCUGCCCUUGACUUUGUGAUAACUUCAGGAAACUGGGGCUAAUACCGGAUAGGAGCUCCUGCUGCAUGGUGGGGGUUGGAAAGUUUCGGAGGUUGGGGAUGGACUCGCGGCUUAUCAGCUUGUUGGUGGGGUAGUGGCUUACCAAGGCUUUGACGGGUAGCCGGCCUGAGAGGGUGACCGGCCACAUUGGGACUGAGGUACGGCCCAGACUCCUACGGGAGGCAGCAGUGGGGAAUAUUACACAAUGGGCGGAAGCCUGAUGCAGCAACGCCGCGUGCGGGAUGACGGCCUUCGGGUUGUAAACCGCUUUCGCCUGUGACGAAGCGUGAGUGACGGUAAUGGGUAAAGAAGCACCGGCUAACUACGUG
rnacentral:rRNA from 1 species